rnacentral:lncRNA from 1 species
UUAUUUAUAUUUACACAACUUUAUUCAUUGUUGCGAAUAAAUGAUAUACACUGUAGUAAUAUAUUUUAAGCAUUCCUAAUCUUUUUGGAAAUUUAUCAUUUUCACUGCAUAUUGCGCGCCUGAUUUCACUCCGGGACUUAACGAAACCGAAUUCGAUUCAGACAUUUUAUUUUUGUGUGUCCUCAAGCUCGGUGAUCGUGCCUCACAAAAUUAAUAACUGUUUUCACGAGAAAAACGUAAUAAAAUAAUAAAUAGUUAUUUGGGAGCGAGAAUGUGUUGCUAUCGAAUCCCACCCAAAGCUUCCGGCCGUUGGAUCUGGAGUGAAAUGACGAACAUCAGCGGAAAAAUUGCCAACGGGAUUUUCUGAGCUAGCAGAACUAAGCAGAUAAUGCGAACGGCGCGGAACUAGCUCGAGUCCUAGUGCACAGAUAGAAUAAGUUGCAGCGUUCUAACCACCUUCAUACCAUGAUAAAAAAAUUAAAGUUUUAUAAAUAGCGACGGGAUGACGCUCAUGUCGCGUCAGCAAAAAGCUAU